CGGGCUGGAACCUCUCGGGGUUACAGCCUUGCUGAAUUAUUCACCCUUGUCUUUUGCGUACUUCUUGUUUCCUUGGUGGGUUCGCCCACCACUAGGACAAACAUAAACCUUUUGUAAUUGCAAUCAGCGUCAGUAACAAAUUAAUAAUUACAACUUUCAACAACGGAUCUCUUGGUUCUGGCAUCGAUGAAGAACGCAGCGAAAUGCGAUAAGUAGUGUGAAUUGCAGAAUUCAGUGAAUCAUCGAAUCUUUGAACGCACAUUGCGCCCUUUGGUAUUCCAAAGGGCAUGCCUGUUCGAGCGUCAUUUGUACCCUCAAGCUUUGCUUGGUGUUGGGCGUCUUGUCUCUAGCUUUGCUGGAGACUCGCCUUAAAGUAAUUGGCAGCCGGCCUACUGGUUUCGGAGCGCAGCACAAGUCGCACUCUCUAUCAGCAAAGGUCUAGCAUCCAUUAAGCCUUUUUUUCAACUUUUGACCUCGGAUCAGGUAGGGAUACCCGCUGAACUUAAGCAUAUCAAUA
rnacentral:rRNA from 1 species